GUCUGUUCUUGUAGAAAACAAAUAAUGUUCAGCUGUCAAAUCUACAAAUUUCUACUGGCUGAUAACUACCUACAAUUGCUUAGAAUCUAUUCACGCAUCGAAUCAUGAUUUUGUUAACAUUCACAACGAACACACACAAAUAAAAACAGGCCUCAGAUUUUAAAUGUAACAUUAAUUAAAAAUCCGAGAUAUCCAAUUAUGAAGUUGUGAUUUUUAAGGAAAUUAAAUAAUAAUUUUCUAAAAUAUAA